CAGCGGAGCGUGUGGUUAAUUCGAUGCUACACGAAGAACUUACCAGGGUUUGACAUGCAAGUGGUAGGAAUCUGAAAGGGACCGACCUUCGGGAGCUUGCACAGGUGCUGCAUGGCUGUCGUCAGCUCGUGUCGUGAGAUGUUCGGUUAAGUCCGCUAACGAGCGCAACCCUCACUGUGUGUUAUAUGUGUCACACGGGACUGCCGGUUUUAAGCCGGAGGAAGGUGGGGAUGACGUCAAGUCAGCAUGGCCUUUAUAUCCUGGGCUACACACACGCUACAAUGGUCGGUACAAUAGGUUGCCAAGCCGCGAGGCGGAGCCAAUCCACAAAGCCGGCCUCAGUUCAGAUUGUAGGCUGCAACUCGCCUGCAUGAAGAUGGAGUUGCUAGUAACCGCAGGUCAGCAAUACUGCGGUGAAUACGUUCCCGGGGCUU
rnacentral:rRNA from 1 species